GCCCCUGUAGCUCAACGGAUAGAGCACUAGCCUUCUAAGCUAUUGGUUGUGAGUUCGAGUCUCGCCAGGGGCG
rnacentral:tRNA from 1 species